AGUGCUGGGAUUAUAGGAGUAAAGUACCAUGCCUGGCUACAGGGAAUUUUUUGUCUUGUUUUUGAGACAGGGUCUCACUCUGUCACCCAAGCUGGAGUACAGUGGCACAAUCAUAGCUCAUUGCAGCCUUGAACUCCUGGGCUCAAGCACUCCUCCUGUCUCCGUCUCACUUGUAGCUAGCAUUACAGGUGCAUGCCACCACACCUGGCUCCACUCCAUAUCUUUACUCCUCUUUAUAGUAAUAGUCCUUGAAAGAUUUCAGUAUACUUGCUAUUUCCAGUUUUUUUGUUUAUUCUCCUAAACAGUUCAGUCAAGAUUUUCCCUCCACACUCCACCACACUUACUCUUGGGAAGGUGACCAGUGACCUCUGCAUUGCUAGAUCCAGUGGUCCAUUGUCAGCCCUGAUCUCUGUGCCGCAGCAUCAUUUGAUGCAGUUAAUUACUCUCUUCUCCUUCAUAAGUGCUUCCAGGGCUUUGUUUCUUCUUGCCCUCAUGGUUGUUCCUCCUGUUCUCCUCAGCUCUUAAUAUCGGAGUGUCCAGGAUUCAGCUCUUGGUCCAGUCUUUACACACAUUCCCUUAGAAAGCUUACCUAAUUGUGUCAUUCGAAAUCACAUCUUUGUGCUGACAAAUCUCAAGUUGUUGUCUCCCACUUGACUUCCCUUGAAUUUGGAGUCAUCCAGUACUCUUUUUGAUGUCUUUAUUAUUUCAAGUUUAGCAUGUCCCAAACAUAUUCCAGUCUUCUUUCAUAGACCUCCUCCACAUGCAUUCUGCCCCAUCUCAGUUGAUGGCAACUGAAUCCUUCCAAUUACUUAGACCAAAAACUGUGGAGUCAUACUGACUUCAUAAUUUCUCUCUCAACUCACCUCUAAUUCAUCAGGAAAUCCUCUGGUGCUACCUUUAAAAUAUCUUUAGAAUCUGACCAGUUCGCACUGCCUACAUCAUGACCACCUGGUCCUUUCCUACCAUCAUCUCUCACCUGGAAUACUGCAGUAGCUUUCUAACUGGUCUCAGGCUACUGUUCCCCCUCUCCCCAGAGUCUGUUCUCAACAGAAUGGUGAAAAUAAUUCUUUCAAAAUGUAAUCAGAUUAUGCCAUUGCUUUGCUCAAAACUCUUCAAUGGCUUCCCAUCUUCCUCGGAGUGAAAGCCAAAAUUCUUUCAGUGGCCUACAGGGUCUCGUGAUGCAUCCCCAAGUCACCUUGCUGACCUCUGCCCUUGUCUUUGCCUUCUUUGCUGUGCUGCAGCCACACCAGCCUCUUUGCUGUUCCUCAGACAAACCAGCUCCAGGCCUUGGACUUGCUGUUUCUCCUGCCAGAAAAGCCCUUCCUCCUCAACCACUGCGUGAACAGUUCUCUUGAAUGACUUUCUCAAAAUCUCCCCGAGUACACCAUCCAAUCCCUUUACCCUCUGUUUUUCCAGAACAUUCUAAUAUUCCAGAAUUUUCUCUGAUAUAUCCCAAACCACUCACUACAACAGCAAGUGUCAUAGUGAGUGCUCAAAUAAUUAUUGAAUGUAUUAAUUAUCCUGAAGAUGCAAAGGAAGAUGGUAGUUUUGAAAAUGAUGUACUACAAGAACUAAAUUGAUUUUGAGCACCUCAGCAUCUGCAGCAGGAUGAAACUGAUGCUUUUGGAAUUCCAAAAGUCAUAAAGAGAAAAGGCAAGAAAAAAAGUACAAUUAAAUGUGUUAUGUAGACAAUUAGGUCAGCCAUAAGGGGAGCAGGUUAAAAUAAUUUGCCAGGAAACAAAUUGCAACACAAACAUUAAGCCCUUCACUGAAGCAGUGAGGAGUAGAAUUGAUUGAAGAAAAUCAGUAAUGCAGAAGAGAGGUUCAAGAAGCUGCCACAGAACACAGAGGAAAAAGAUCAAAACUGUAAAUGGACAGUGUGAUGUUAGAUCUAGGAGACCAAAAAAAGACAAGAAUUUACAUAGUGUUCCUGUGGAAGAAAUCCAAAAAGAGUGGAACAGAGAAGUCAUCAAAAAACAUUAUUCUUUGAUGUAUUCUUUGAUGAAAACUUAAGCUUUUAUAAAGUCCUUCGGGAGAAAACAAAAUUGUCAAAAGACACAGUAAGCUACAUUGUAGUAGAGUAUAUGAAUCAUAAGAUUAAAGGGGUAAAUUCUAUAAGGAUUGACACCUGAAAAAUGUGUUACCUACAAGGAAGCAAAAAUUAAGCUUACCUCUGUCUUUUCUGCCACUGAAUUAUAGAGUAGUAAAACAGCAUCUGUAGAUUUUUGAGAGGAUAUAGCUGUGACUCAAGAAUUUUUAUACCAAAUCAGUUGUCACUUAAGAAUGAAAACCAUUGAGGAUUCUGUGGACCAUUGGAAAAAUUUUUCAAAAGAAUGCAAACCAGGCUGGGCUCAGUGGCUCACACCUGUAAUUCCAACACUUUGGGAGGCUGAAGCAGGAGGAUCACUUGAGCCCAGGAGUUUGAGACCAGCCUGGACAACACAGUGAGACCCUGUCUCUACAAAAAUUUAAAAAAUUAGCCAAGCAUGGUGGCACAUGCCUGGAGUCCCAGCGACUCAGGAGGCUGAGGUGGGAGAAUCAUUUGAGCUCUGGAAUUCAAGGCUGCAUUGAGCCAUGAUGGCACCAUUGCAUUCCAGCCUGGGUGACAGAGCAAUACCCUGUCUUAAAAAAAAAGAAAAAA
rnacentral:lncRNA from 1 species